GCGCUUCUCGCCGUCCCCGCUCUCCAUGAAGCAGUUCCUGGACUUCGGAUCGGUGGAUGCUUGUGAAAAGACUUCAUUUAUGUUUCUGCGGCAAGAGUUGCCUGUCAGAUUGGCAAAUAUAAUGAAAGAAAUAAGCCUCCUUCCAGAUAAUCUUCUCAGGACGCCAUCCGUUCAGUUGGUACAAAGCUGGUAUAUCCAGAGUCUUCAGGAGCUUCUUGAUUUUAAGGACAAAAGUGCUGAGGAUGCUAAAGCAGUUUAUGACUUUACAGAUACCGUGAUACGGAUCAGGAACCGACACAAUGAUGUCAUUCCCACAAUGGCCCAGGGUGUGAUUGAAUACAAGGAGAGCUUCGGGGUGGAUCCCGUCACCAGCCAGAAUGUUCAGUACUUUUUGGAUCGAUUCUACAUGAGUCGCAUUUCAAUUAGAAUGUUACUCAAUCAGCACUCUUUAUUAUUUGGUGGAAAAGACAAAGGAAGUCCCUCUCAUCGAAAACACAUUGGAAGCAUAAAUCCAAACUGCAACGUAGUUGAAGUUAUUAAAGAUGGCUAUGAAAAUGCUAGGCGUCUUUGUGAUUUAUAUUAUGUUAACUCUCCUGAACUAGAACUUGGAGAACUAAAUGCAAAAUCACCAGGACAGCCAAUACAAGUGGUUUAUGUACCAUCCCAUCUCUAUCACAUGGUGUUUGAACUUUUCAAGAAUGCAAUGAGAGCAACCAUGGAAUACCAUGCUGACCAAGGUGUUUACCCCCCGAUUCAAGUUCAUGUCACACUGGGUAAUGAGGAUUUGACUGUGAAGAUGAGUGACCGAGGAGGUGGUGUACCUUUGAGGAAAAUUGAC